rnacentral:rRNA from 1 species
UACGGAGUGUGCAAGCGUUGUCCGGAUUUAUUGGGUUUAAAGGGUGCGUAGGCGGCUAUUUAAGUCAGUGGUGAAAUCCUGCAGCUUAACUGUAGAAUUGCCAUUGAUACUGGAUAGCUUGAGUACAGACGAGGUAGGCGGAAUUUAUGGUGUAGCGGUGAAAUGCAUAGAUACCAUAAAGAACACCUAUUGCGAAGGCAGCUUACUAGGCUGUAACUGACGCUGAGGCACGAAAGUGUGGGGAUCAAACAGG